GGAAGAUUCAACGAACCAGGUCUGCAUUCCGGCAGGCUGCUCCUUUGGGAGGAAGGAUGUCUCACCAGUUUGCCCCAGGCUUACCACUCCCUAUGGCCUCCCAACUCACACAUACACUGCAGCUUUACACAGGAUAGAGCUUAGAUAAAAGCGAAUUACUUAUUACUCCUAAGUCGCUAUCAAAGGUUAGAAAAUACAAGAUAUGCUGAAAGGGAUAUGUUUCCAGAAAAACGGGCAAAUGUUUCUUUGUGGAAGAGAAGAUUAUUUCUACGUUUCAUAAGCAUGCAAAGAAGUUCUGCAUGGAAAUUCCCCACGUGCUUCCUGCAGUUGGGUGACAGUAGGUCUCUGAGCUUUCUGCCCCACAGCGUGCCCUAUAAUCCCAAAUGGGUCUUAAAGGACCCUUGGGAACUAGAUGAGCAUUUUCCAGAUCACAGAAUUAGAAGUUAAACACUGAAGUCAGUGGAUACUAAGGACAGGGAUGUUUUCCCCCAAUAUAACAAAUAGAGGGGUCCAGUGAAAGAGCCUAAAAGUAGACCACGGGGCCACAGGGCACACAGUUGUCCCAACAUCGCUUCCCACCAUCAGGGUGUCAGGGCAGUGCUCUCCCACUUGCUACCACUGCUUAUCUUUCGGAUUAUUUUUUACCUUCUUUCUCUAGAGUCUUGUCAAUUCUGCCCUUUCACAGAAAUGCUAAUCUUUCAGAGUUGAUCAGCCAAUCAGGAGCUCCUUUGGGUUAGGUCAGCAAACCACAGGCUGGAAAUGUCCCUGGGGUCCUGGGACCUUGGCUGUUUUCACCCUGUUGAAGGCUCAAAGGGCUCUUUCUUUGCUGCCAUAGACAUUCUUCCCUGGGGUAGGGAGAGACUGUAUGUGUGUGUGCGUGUGUUGGGGGAGCUGGGUUAACCAAAAGAAGACAAGGGGGUGACCGAUUCUACGUGCCUGAAAGUUCAGAAGGCCGUCUUCUGAGAAAUGAGUUUCAACCCCUCUCCUGAAUUCUCCAUGUUCCGAGAGUCUACUUGAUGUGCAAGACCUCAGGCUGCCUCAUCCUCAGUAAUACCCUGGCUGAGAAAUUCCGGCCAAAAGACAAAGGCCCUAUUUGCUUCGGAAAUGUGCCUAACACCAUGGUCCCAUCAGACACAGUGGGGACCAGGGAAAUAGAACAGGCUUUGGAGGGAAGGCCAACUGACCAGGUGAUUCCGCCACUUACUCCCUCUGUGGGCACAUCUCUCUGGGCCUCAGUUUCCUUACCUGUAAAAUGGGGGCAACAAUGCCUACUUCAUGGGUUCUUGUGAAAAUUAACUGAGGCACCAUGUAAAGUACUUCAAAUCAUGGUGCUUGGCACACAGAAGACGCCUUCUUAAGCGACAGUCCUGGUCAGUUAUCAGGCAGUUCAGCACAGCUCCAGGGGCAGGUUCUGGAGGCAAACAGCCAGAGUUCAAAUACCAGCUCAACCACUUAUCAGUAGGAAGGAUACACCUGACAGCUUACUCUGGGCUCUGUGUGCAUGAAUGACUGCCUAAGAGAUCGUACUCAUUCACUUUCCUGGACACUACGGGCUUCCCACGCAUUGAGCUAAUUUUGUAUAGUGCAUGUCCCAUGUACCAGACACUGUGCUAUAUGCUGGGACAACAAGCACUGGGAAUACGUAUUUUUAAAAGCUCCCCAGGUGACUCUGAAUAUCAGCCAGGGUUGAAAAUGACCACUUGGUGUUUCACAGGGAACAAGCUCUGUGGUAAACCUAACAGAACUGGGGUCCCAACAUCACCCCCCACCUCUCCCCGCUGCUCUCUGAGGUUGAGAACUGUAUUCCCUACAAUAAUAUGGAACUCACACUCAAAACAGGAGGAGCAGAGACCGAGUCUUCCUCUUCCCUCCACCAGGCUCCUUAGCUGCAGCCCCACCGCCCUUCCUCAAUCUGGAAAGGGCAGCAAAGUGAGGGAGUGUAUCCCCCGGAAGCCUGGGGACCCUGCCUGAUCUCUGGCCUGGGAGCAGUUGGGGCUAGCACAGCCAGACAUCAUCCAUCCUUCACCCCAGGGUGCAGGCCUCAGACGUCCAACACCUCAUGACAACAGCCAUUUGGCCAGCAGCUUCUGGGAGGAUAAUGCUGAGGCCAAAACUCAACAGGCAGAAGUAACUUGCCCCAAGUAUUGGUCCUGCUUGGAGGCAAAACAAUCAGUAGGUUGAUGACAGCCUGAUGCUUGAGAAAUCAUUUUUUUAAAAAGACGGGGGGGGGGGGGGGGUGGGGGGGGUUGAAGAUUGCUUAAAAGCAGCCCUUUAACUCAGAAGGCAGUUCCAUCCACCUUACAAAUUCAAUGCCCUCUGAAUACACAUCUAUCUGUCACAGCAGGGAAUCUUUUAACUAGCAAAAGAGCAAGAGAAGGAAUUCAGAUCAACAUCGCGGGCUGUAGCAAUAAAGCCCUGCCGUGGAUUCACCCCUUUCCCUCGAGGCAGGAAAGAAUCAAGGAAGAAUUUCAAAAUCUUUUUAUACAAUUAAAGAAAGGGAUUUGGUGGGAGAAGGGAGCAAGGAGGACAAGAUCAAGAAUGUAAGGUUUGCUAUUUUAAGCUCAAAAUAAAUCAUGAUAAGAAAGGACUAGAAGGUUUGAUUUUAUUUCUCAGAUCUUCUCCAUGGCAGGAACAGUAUCUGGUGUUUGGGGGAGGGGGGGGCAAACUGUCAGGCCAGCAUCAGUCUUUUCACCCCCUCAUCCAGUUCCCCCAAAAUAAAACCAGUCUGUCGUGUGCUUCCAGAAUUUUACAAUCUUGAAUUACGGCUUUGAAAUAAUUCGGAUUCCACUAUAACAAAUCUCAGAGAUAUGAGGCAGGCUACAAAGAAAAUCCAGCAAAAUAUAUCCAAAGAACUGUAUCCAAGAUGGUAGCAGGAAAAAGAACCAGACAAUAUGAUAAAUUUGGCACACGAGGACCAGCGAAUGACGUACCAAACCAGUAAAGACAGCUCCCUAAGAAAUACACAUUCACGGGGCCGGCCCCGUGGCCGAGUGGUUAAGUUUGUGUGCUCCGCUGCGGCGGCCCAGGGUUUGGAUCCUGGGCACGGACAUGGCACCACUCAUCAGGCCACGUUGAGGCGGCGUCCCACAUCCCACAACUAGAAGGACCUGCAACUAGGAUAUACAACUGUGUACAGGGGGGGUUUGGGGAGAUAAAGCAGGAAAAAAAGAAAAAGAUUGGCAACAGUUGUUAGCCCAGGUGCCAAUCUUUAAAAAAAAAAAAGGAAAUACACAGUCACUAUUUCCCAAAACUAUUUUAGAACCCACUCUUGUCAACCAUUACUUUCUAGAAGCCUAACUUUUACAACAUCCAAUCCUUGAUCAUUUAUGAUACAAAAGAAAACAAAAGCGGGUGGAACCAUAGUACUGUGCAUUAUAAAAAACAUUUCCUUGAGAGAACCAAAGUUCUGAAGAUACAUACAUCAGUCAGCUGCUUGGCAACUUUAAGGUCGACACCUGUGGGGAUCGACAGACAGCCCAGGUGUGGGUUGUUUUUAUCACUUCGCUUCAUCAGUGUACUUCUACAUUUUGGCUUGGCCCUGUCAGAUCUUUUCUUCUCUCAAACCAGUGAGAAAAGUGUACAUAUGCUAAUAUAUGUUAAUAUACAGUCGCACGCUGCAUAAGGACACUUUGGGACCACAUAUACGAUGACGGUGGUCCCAUGAGAUUAGUCCCAGAUAGGCUAGGUGUGCAGUGGCUCUACCACCUAGGUUUGUGUAAGUACACUCUGUGAUGUUCGCACAACAACAAAAUUGCCCAAGGAUGCAUUUCUUAGAACGUAUCCCGUCGUUAAGCGACACAUGACCGUGCACACACAUAUACAUGUUUAUAAAAUGGAUCUCAACCCCCCAAAAACCUUCUUUACCUCUUUUCAGAUUUAAAAGCUUAUCACUCACUUCAUUUGAACUCUCUUAACAAUCACAAAGUUGGAGACCAGUGUUGUAACCACAGCACUCAGGAACUAGACUGUAGUUUUUAUUGCCUAUUCUCUGUUGAGAUGCCCAAGUUCUCUUUUUGAAGACAUGUGUGGUUAAAUCCAGCAUCUUUUUUAAUAAAUACAUUUCUUUAAAUGUAAGCCAGGGGGUGUCUGUCAGCUGUGGGGAAACAAA
rnacentral:lncRNA from 1 species